rnacentral:lncRNA from 1 species
AAGCAAUUUGCUCAUAGCCAUAGCUUUCUUGUGAAAGUAGGAUAUUAACCCAGGUGUCUUGGUGCUGGAGAACAGAACUGGCCAGAGUCCAUCCUGUCUCCCACCGGCAUCCCAUUACGAAAUGAACACAGAAAAGGCAGGUCUGCAAUGCCAACAUCUAGUAUCUAUCCCAAAGACCAGGGAGAAAGGAAGGAAAGAUUCUGGUUCUGUCCUCUUCCCCAAGGCAAGGCUGGCUGCCCUACCAACAGAGGCAAAGAGAAGAGUGUGCAAGGCUGGCUGCCCUCCCAACAGAGGCAAAGAGGAGUGUGUGUUGAAAUAUCCAUUGAAUCCCUGAGACAACUGGAUCCUGGCCCAUUGAAUCAUAAACUCAUUUCAGAGAAGAUGAAACUGAUGUGCGUCAAAAAGCUGGUAGUCUGUCAAGGAAAUGAGCUGAACAUGUCUGUGUACAGCUUUUGUGCCAUCCCUGGAUGAGCGAGCUGUCUGCCUCUAUGUUCUCCACAAAAUGGAAUAUAGCUGUACACCCAAGCCAAGUUAUGGAGGCUGGGAAGACCUAGAAUGUGGCAUCACUAUUUGCUGAAAUUUUUAAUAUAAUGCCUCUUAGCCUGGUUUGGAGAAAACGUCACAGAGAGGCACCAUUUGUUGUGGUUUUACAUGAAAAUUUUCUGACCCUGAACCUGGUUUGAUGGAAAUCAUUUGCUGAGGAAACCAUGCCGAUUACCGACCGAGCUCUCAAUGGAAAAAUGCAGUCGGCGUGAACCACGCACGAACACAGCAGAGAAAGAAGAAAACACACACCACGAGGAACCCUAAUAGGACAAUACAUUAUAAGUCACAGUGCUACGGAGAAACCCAGUAGCCACAUGGAAGCAGAGACCAUGCAUAUGCAUCUACUCCGCAGCUCUGUGAAUGUCAGCAGCUCCCACGGACUGGAGAUCCCGUGAGAUCCCGUGAGAUCUCACCCAUAGCCUCAUGGUACAUCCACUUGGUGUGCUGGGAGAGUCAGGAUGAGGACCUGAGAAGAACAGCAGCUUGAACCUGACUUCAUUUAACAGCCCACUGCCCUCUUGCCAAGAACCCAUCACAGACCUUCCCAGAAGAGAGGGAUGAGCCUCACCUAUGAAUAAGUCCUCAGAAACUCAAAUUUGAUUCUAAUGGAUUGUUUUCUCAGAAAGACUGAGCAUGUCCCCCCACAUCUCUGUCAUUUCCCACAGUAGUAACCUCUGCAGAUGCCACAUAGAAAACAAAACAAAACAAAAAAACAUGAGGUUGGUGGGCAGAUAGGCAGGGUAUAAACAAACAGCCUUGUAACCCAGAAGCUGUGUGAUAUACAGUAAACUUCACAACACUGAAAAGAUGUCCUAUCUGUUAAAAUGGGGUAAUAACAACUACCCGAAUGUUUAGGAAUAGAACUUCAAUAAAUGAUACAUUUUAUAGUACAGCAGACCAUCCUGUAAAGGUUUCAUCCUUCACUGUGGUGAUAAAUAUCCCAAACCACAUUGAAAAGCAUUGCAUCUACAUUUAUCUACACUGUAACUGUACUGUAAAUCAUGGGGGAGGGGAGAAUCAUAAAAACACCACCUGUCACCGUGUCAUUAAAGCAAGUUGGAAGUGAUACUUACAGAAACACAGCAAGAGCACCCCCAGUCACACAGUUCAAUCUCUUAGCAAGCGUUUUCUUUCUAGCCCAGUGGUUCUCAGUUUGGAAUUUUUGGCACUGCCUAGAGAUAGUUUUGUUGUUAAAACUGAGAAAAGAGCCGGGCGUGGUGGCACACGCCUUUAAUCCCAGCACUCAGGAGGCAGAGGCAGG